GGGCCUGUAGCUUAGGCUGGUGGAGCGUCCGGCUCAUAACCGGACGGUCGUCGGUUCAAAUCCGGCCAGGCCCACCA
rnacentral:tRNA from 1 species